rnacentral:sRNA from 1 species
AAAUAUUUGAAGUUUUGGAUUUGGAUGUAAAAACAAAAUUAGGUGGAAUUGUUGUUCCUGUGAUCGGAAGUCCCUAUUAAGGACCGGGGAUAUUUGCUCCAUAUAUAUCUUGCUUUCUGCGUCAUUUGUGGGCCAAUCUGCGCCUUCCAAAGGUUCCUGCAAUUGGAAAAGUGUCCCUGAUCUUUUGGUUUUUUUCAAGGUCUGCCAUGAUAUGGUGAUUACGAAGUGAUUCCAGCUCAAAAUAUAAAUGCUUUUUGAUGAUUUCGCACGUUCUGGGCCAUACAUUUGAUUUGCUUUCACACCGUGGCCUAAAAAGAGGCUUCGACUUCGACUUCGGCUUCCUGUUCAACAAGUAAAAGGCCUGCCCAGAAUUGUUGGUUAUCUAGUAGAUACGGAUUGGAAUGAUGAUUUGGAAGCGCCUUUUGACCCCCUUCAAUCACGCCUCACGCUGCCAUCUCUAGCGUUGAACUACAUCUUCCAAUUUCGGAGUAUUCAUUUACUUGAGUUUCACUUUGAAAUGCAAACCAGAGGCAAAACGUGGCGCACAACGCAUCCAUAUCCGCUAAUUACGCAGCCACCAGCGGCCUGGCCUGGCCUGGCCCCUGCCCAUACCCCAGACCUCAGACCCCAUGGAAAGUGUAAACAAAUUUUGGUAACGGAACGAACACAAUUUUCCUAAACAGAAACUUAAGCAGCGGCAACGCAACCCUUUUUUCCGAGUAGUGUGCGUGUGAUUCUACCCCCGCGGAAAAGUUUUCCGCUGAAGCGAUGGACAAGCUCUCGGAAGAGAGGGAGAGAGAGAGCUUUACACACAGAUCAAAGUGCUGGUUUUUUUUCUCUUCGGGUCUUUGACGGAACCAAUAAACAUGUUCGGCACUUUAUUUACAUUGGCUUCCGGUUGAAUUCAGUAUUUUUUCCCCCC